rnacentral:rRNA from 1 species
UACGUAGGGGGCGAGCGUUGUCCGAAGUUACUGGGCGUAAAGAGCGCGUAGGCGGGCUUCUAAGUGAGAGGUGAAAGGUUCGGGCUCAACCCGGAGAGUGCCUUUCAUACUGGGAGCCUUGAGUGCGGGAGAGGCAAGUGGAAUGGUCGGUGUAGCGGUGAAAUGCGUAGAGAUCGGAAAGAACACCAACGGCGAAAGCACUCUGCUGGGCUGAGAUUGACGCUCAGGCACGAAAGCGUGGGGAGCAAACAGG